CUGUCUCCUGCUCCAACAGUGUUUGAAUGGGACAG
rfam:Myotis davidii contig83683, whole genome shotgun sequence.